AUGCCUCCAUCUAUAUCCCUUUGUCGUUUCAUUCCCUUCCUUCUUCCAUCCUCCUUGGUGUUCCUUUAUAACUUCUGCCGAACAGAUCGUGUAUUCCCGGCGACGAUUCUAGAACCUUCAUGAAUCUUCCCACGGCGACGGCGCUCUCCCUCUUUAUGGCCUUACAAAGCCCUCAAAAGCACAAUCCCCCUCACCAUGACUGAACUCCGAAGCGGAAGAAACCGGGAAACGUUCCAUGACCCAAACCCAAACCCGAACACAAAAGCCCGCCAGAGAAGAACGAGAAGAACCGCUGUCAACCCCGGGAGGUACAAUCGCAACACACUCGAGCGUUGUAGAAUCGGUAACCGUGAGUUAGGAGAGAAGGAGCCACAACAGCAACACGCGCCUCUGCUUAGGGUUUCGGAAGAAGGUAAAGAGAAAGACAUGGAUGAUGAGUUCGAUAGCGGCGGUGGCCGGAGCCCCGACAAGGCUGCGCCCGCCGAAGACGAAGGAAGCACUGCUCCCAUUCCCGAGAGGGUACAGGUAGGUGGUUCUCCGUUGUACAAAUUAGACAGAAAACUUGGGAAGGGAGGGUUUGGACAAGUUUACGUAGGUAGGCGAGUUGGGGCUGGUGCCGGAGCGUUAGAGGUAGCUUUGAAGUUUGAACAUAGAAGCAGUAAGGGGUGCAAUUAUGGACCUCCAUAUGAGUGGCAAGUUUACAAUGCAUUGGGUGGUAGUCAUGGUGUUCCUCGUGUUCAUUACAAGGGACGGCAAGGUGAUUACUAUGUUAUGGUCAUGGAUAUGCUUGGCCCUAGUCUGUGGGAUGUCUGGAAUAACAACUCAAACACAAUGUCUGCGGAAAUGGUGGCAUGUAUAGCAAUUGAGGCCAUCUCCAUAUUAGAGAAGAUGCAUUCUAAAGGGUAUGUCCACGGUGAUGUAAAACCUGAGAAUUUUUUGCUUGGCACCCCUGGAACUGCUGAUGAGAAAAAGCUUUUCCUAGUUGAUCUUGGUUUAGCAACCCGUUGGCGUGAUAGUUCAACUGGCUUUCAUGUUGAGUAUGAUCAACGUCCUGAUGUAUUUAGAGGAACAGUUCGAUAUGCUAGUGUGCAUGCUCAUCUUGGUAGAACAGGAAGCAGGAGAGAUGAUUUGGAAUCUCUUGCUUACACAUUGAUUUUCCUUCUUCGUGGCCGGCUACCUUGGCAAGGAUACCAGGGAGAAAAUAAAGGAUUUCUUGUGUGCAAGAAAAAGAUGGCAACCUCACCAGAAACUUUGUGUUGUGUCUGUCCUCCACCUUUCCGGCAGUUUGUGGAAUACGUAGUGAAUUUGAAGUUUGAUGAAGAACCAAAUUAUGCGAAGUAUAUAUCACUUUUUGAUGGAAUUGUUGGACCAAAUCCAGAUAUCAGACCCAUAAAUACCGAAGGUGCACAAAAGCUUAUAUAUCUGGUUGGACAUAAGAGAGGACGGUUAACUGUGGAAGAAGAUGAUGACGAACAACCGAAGAAGAGAGUAAGAAUGGGAAUGCCAGCAAUGCAAUGGAUUAGUGUGUACAAUGCCCGCCGACCAAUGAAGCAAAGGUACCAUUACAAUGUUGCUGAUGCGCGGUUGUCCCAACACAUUGAAAAGGGAUAUGAGGAUGGGUUAUUUAUCAGCAGUGUAGCUUGUUGUUCUAACCUAUGGGCACUUAUUAUGGAUGCUGGCACUGGUUUCACUGCUCAAGUUCAUGAACUCUCACCCCACUUUCUUCAUAAGGAAUGGAUUAUGGAACAGUGGGAAAAUAAUUAUUACAUCAGUGCAAUAGCAGGAUCUAAUAAUGGGAGCUCAUUGGUUGUAAUGUCUAAAGGGACCCAAUAUAUGCAGCAAUCUUAUAAAGUCAGCGAGUCAUUUCCAUUUAAGUGGAUCAAUAAAAAAUGGAGAGAAGGAUUUUCUGUCACUUCUAUGGCUACUGCUGGGAGUAGAUGGGCAAUUGUAAUGUCCCGUGGUGCUGGAUAUUCAGACCAGGUUGUGGAACUUGAUUUCCUGUAUCCUAGUGAGGGCAUUCAUCGCAGGUGGGACAAUGGUUACCGCAUCACUUCAACUGCUGCCACAUGGGACCAAGCUGCUUUUGUUCUUAGCGUCCCAAGAAGAAAACCGACUGAUGAAACUCAAGAGACACUCCGCACAUCUGCCUUUCCUAGUAGUCACGUCAAGGAAAAAUGGUCUAAAAAUCUCUAUAUUGCAUCAAUAUGCCAUGGGAGAACAGUUUCAUGAACUGAGAAAUUGAGACUUCAGCUGACUUUUGACUUUUUGCAUCAAAGUUCCUGUUCUUAGAUGUGCCAUUAUGGAAUCUGGAAUUAUAUCUGACGAAUUCGGUGAACAAAGCUAUUCAGCAUUGAUGUAUGCUAAACCUUUCUUUAUGGACGCCAUCACUUAUCAUAUGAUACCUGUGCUCUGUAUAUCAACUGUAUUAAAAUGCUUAUGAGCAACGUCAGAUUUUGUUCAUUGGGAUGAGUCUUCUGAUGAAAGGAUUGUAGAGAUUUGAACAGUAAUUACUUUGUUGAAGGCGUUGUGUGCAGUUACAUACAGCUGGAUUCUUGACAGAGCACAAUCCUUCAUUUUCCUCUGUAGCCUGCCCUCCUAGUGGUAAAAGUUGGCUAUCGGGGCAGCUCAGCUGUUGUGAUACAGUUAAAGAGAUUGUUGUUACCAUUAUUGAAUUUUAUAUCGCCUGACACUUCUGGAGCAUCUGGAGCAGGUAUUUGUUUCUGCAGCUACUGUUAUGAAAUGUCUGAUAUUUUGUGCUGCUGAAACGUUUGCGUACUUUGAUCUAGAUAUGCCUUUAUAUCGACGGUAUGUUUGAUUUGGCCUGAUGGCACGAGACUUCAGUUCCUGGCAUUUUGGUGGUAAUUGUUUUCUUGCAGUUGUAUGCAUCGUUACUAGUUAGUUGAUUUCCAUGUCUUCUCCUUGAUAAAAUGUGAAGUUCUUAAUGUAGUUAAUUUUCAAGCGAUGUAGUAACGUGCAGAUUUGUAUUUGUUUGUUCAUACUGGAGAGGCCCACACCCUUAAGCAGUGGUGAAGCAGUUGAAGGUACUGGAGCAUUUGGAACUAUUUCCUGUAUGUGAUUCUUUCCUUAAAUAGUUGAACCUUUGGUAGGUAGCAGCGUGGGUGGGGCUUUAGUUGAAUCUGAAGCAAACUCUUUUUUAGUGAUAUUUAACUUGUCCAAAGCUUUCAAAUCAAUCCCGAUCGAGGUCUAGUAGUUUUUUCCCUUGUUUCAAUAUUUUAUUUCAUUUCAUUUGUGCUUCCAUGACACUAAUGAAAUUAUGCAUGAAGGCACUACAAGGCUAAAUGUUAUUUCUGGAAGGCAACUCUGAAGCAAUGCAGCUGUGAGCUUAUUAUGGUGGUCAUGGGUUAAAUGAAUUUACUUGUAGAUGAACGGCAUCCUUGAUCAAUAAAUUAAUUUCUUUGCCCACUCUUCAUUCAUCCA